GAUGAACGCUGGCGGCGUGCUUAACACAUGCAAGUCGAACGGAGUUUACUUAACAGAUUUCUUCGGAAUGAUGUUUUUUAAACUUAGUGGCGGACGGGUGAGUAACGCGUGGGUAACCUGCCUUACACAGGGGGAUAGCAGUUGGAAACGACUGGUAAUACCGCAUACCUUACAUUAUUCGCAUGUUUGAUGUAAGAAAGAUUUUAUCGGUGUAAGAUGGACCCGCGUCUGAUUAGCUAGUUGGUGUGGUAACGGCAUACCAAGGCGACGAUCAGUAGCCGGCCUGAGAGGGUGAACGGCCACAUUGGGACUGAGAUACGGCCCAGACUCCUACGGGAGGCAGCAGUGGGGAAUAUUGCACAAUGGAGGCAACUCUGAUGCAGCGACGCCGCGUGAGUGAAGAAGUAUUUCGGUAUGUAAAGCUCUAUCAGUAGGGAAGAUAAUGACGGUACCUACAGAAGAAGCCCCGGCUAAAUACGUGCCAGCAGCCGCCGCGG
rnacentral:rRNA from 1 species